AAAAAAAGCCAGAACAGUCUCUCAACUUCAAAAACCAAUAGCCCCUAUUUUUCCAGAAUUUGGCGAGCCGCCAUUACCACUACUGUACACCGCUGUUGGCCACCGUCAGUUGGUCAACGUGCUACCCCUAAUUUUCACCACAGCUUCAUCUUUCAUCAUCUUCAUGGAUCCAAGCUCAAAAUACCCUUAGAGUCGCAGAUCUACACCAAAAUUCACGGCCAAAACAACCCAAAACACCUACCUCCAGCGCACCAAACACGUAAACUUUCAAGAUAUCGUUCUUUUCCCUAAGGCUGACCUACCUCCAAAAAGUAAACCUCAAAAACCUUUCAAACACCCCAAACAUGCCUUGAUCGAAACCUCUCUUUUG
rnacentral:lncRNA from 1 species